rnacentral:rRNA from 1 species
AUACGUAGGGGGCGAGCGUUGUCCGGAUUUAUUGGGCGUAAAGGGUGCGUAGGCGGCCUUGUAAGUCAGAUGUGAAAGAUCAUGGCUUAACUGUGGAAAGCAUUUGAAACUGCAGGGCUUGAGUACAGGAGAGGAGAGUGGAAUUCCUAGUGUAGCGGGGAAAUGCGUAGAUAGUAGGAGGAAUACCAGGUGCGAAGGCGUCUCUCUGGACUGAUACUGACGCUGAGGCACGAAAGCGUGGGGAACAAACAGGAUUAGAUUCCCUGGUAGUCCACGCUAUAAACGAUGAGUGCUAGGUGUCGGGGGUCAAACCUCGGUGCCGCAGUUAACACAUUAAGCACUCCGCCUGGGGAGUACGGCCGCAAGGCUGAAACUCAAAGGAAUUGACGGGG